UACGUAGGGUGCAAGCGUUGUCCGGAAUUAUUGGGCGUAAAGAGCUCGUAGGCGGUCUGUCGCGUCUGCUGUGAAAACUCGGGGCUUAACCCCGGACCUGCAGUGGGUACGGGCAGACUAGAGUGCGGUAGGGGAGAUUGGAAUUCCUGGUGUAGCGGUGGAGUGCGCAGAUAUCAGGAGGAACACCAAUGGCGAAGGCAGAUCUCUGGGCCGUAACUGACGCUGAGGAGCGAAAGCAUGGGGAGCGAACAGG
rnacentral:rRNA from 1 species